CCAAAAAGCUAUUUUUAGCAUAAAGGUCACAGUCAUGGUCACAAGGUCAUUGACCUUGGUGUCAGUUGAAAGUGCCUAAUUAGUGGAGUAGGAAUACCAAAUAUGAAGUCUCUAUCUCUCACGGUUCAGAAGUUAUGGCGAAAGUUCGAAAAAGCUAUUUUUAGCAUAAAGGUCACAAUCAAGGUCAUAAGGUCAUUGACCUUGGUGUCAGUUGAAAGUGUUUUUGUAGUGGAGUAUCCAUACCAAAUAUGAAGUCUGUAAGUCUCACGGUUCAAAAGUUAUGGCGAAGGUUAAAGUUGACAACAGACAAACAAACAGACAGACAUACAGCUAAACAGACAGACAGGACAAAAACAAUAUGCGCCCCAAAAAAAUUUGGGUGCAUAAAAACUGUCUUGGAGUUAACAGCAGUUCUCUGUUUCUCCUGAAUGUUAUGUACAAUUUGAUCGGGAUCGGAAGAAUGUUUCAAAAAGUCGGGCUCAGUGAUCAAUUAAUUUAAACAACAGACCGCCAAAAUUUAACCUUGGCCUCCAUGUUGCAACGUCUGCUCUGUCUAAAGGAAGAAGUUUGUUGACCAGACAGCCUGAGAUCGUAUUGCUGUAUCAACCAAAAGAUGCAGAUACACGUAUUUCAUAUGCGCGUCUGUGCAUGAGGAGGCGAUUUCUGAAAAAGAAUAAGUGCUUAUUCAACUUACUGCGAUUUUAACGGGCUUAAAGCUUGGUCCAUGGAUGGUUAUGUUUGAGGAUUUGACAAUUCGACCGCAAGUGCUGCUGCAAGAAAUUAAACAUGCAGAGACCUUGCAAAUUACAAAGAAGUCUGAAGAAAAUUUUUAUUGGACAGAUGGGUGUAAAGCACAGACCUGAGAUAUAAAUUGAAUUGUGAGAAAUAUGAAUCAGGGAUGCAGGUAGAAAAUGGCAAAUGUGAUCCAGAUUGAUAAAAAAUGUCUAAAGUUUUUUCUUGUUUUGUAAAUAUUCAAUGCUAUGUCAAUUGUUAUUUUUUCCCCAAUACCUAAUAGUGUUGAACAUUUCACUCCCACUUUUGCUUAAAUAGAAUGAAUAAAUUUCCAUUUAUUUAAUAUGAAUAUUAAAAAAUGCCACAUUUUUUCCAUGAUGAACUUGUGGCUUAAAUAAGAGUUCCAGUUUUUUUUCCAUACAUGCUCCUAUUUGUUUGUCAAAGAUAUAAGAUCCAAUACAUUGCUCAUGAACAUAAUGUGUAAUUUUGUUCAUUCAUUUAUAUGUUUUUUUCUCAUAAUGAUAUAAUAAAUUGUAUAUAAUUUU